ensembl:snoRNA
GAGCAAUGAUGAAAAGGUUUUACUACUGACCUUUGCAACUCUGAAGGCUCCUACACUUGACCUGAACUCA